GCUCCUAUAGCUCAGUUGGUAGAGCGUGACCUUCGUAAGGUUAAGGYCAGGCGUUCGAACCGCCUUAGGAGCA
rnacentral:tRNA from 1 species